UGGUGUUUGCUAUUCCAGUGCUGAGAUACCAUGGUUAAGGAGGGAGGAGAGGGCAGGAAGAAAAGAAAAACUCCUUUGCCACUGCUGCUUCUACUCCCUACCAUUUAGAUUGGGCAGUUGUUGCUGGAAAUACCUCCCCUCUUCAUCCCCUGCUCAAGACUGAACACUCUUUUAGAACAAAGAAAAGCGACUAAGCAAAAGCAUCCCAACAUAGUGACAACAUCUGACUAUGUAUAUAGCAUUCUGCUCCAACAGUCCCCUAAUUUUCUGCUGUUAGAAAGGAGCAUAAGACAAGACAUCACAUAUUAUCCACCAUUUUACUAUGAACAUUGUGAUGUCAUUGGUGAAAACAGAGGCCCAGCAAUAAUAACAUCCAUACCAGAAAAAUAGAGAAGCACAGAAAAAGCAAAGUGAAGGGCUCCAGAAACAAGCUUCUCGUCACAAAUUUGCUCGGGGAUUGCUCUGUGUUCCAUAUUCAUAAUAGUGUCUGAGCUUUGCUCCUCUGGGAGAAAUUCUGCACCAGAAGACAAUCAGGUCAUGAUUCAGUUACACCCUAAGCCUUUCAUUAGGUCUUGCUACUGCCAUCAGUCGUGGCCUGCUGAGCACAACAACAGCAACAACAAAAAACACAGAAUCCAACCUAUUCAUUUCACAUGGCAACAUGAAACCUUCCAGUGAAUACAGCUCUUUUUGCAAGCGUGAGGACCAAACCAGCCUGACACUGAAUCAGAUUCAUCCUGCAUAUGACUUCCUUCAAACUCUAACAUGGAAAUGAAACUACCAGGGACCUUGACACAUUUCUUGCAGACCUCACUGUACCUCCUAAUUUCUUUCCUGUCUCUGAGUAAAAUCCCUUCUCUUCAGACCACCUCUGCUGCAGAAGGAGAGUUCAAUGUAGCAAGAUCUUUGAAGGAGCAGCCAGAGAUAAUUUGCAUAAAUCUGCCCAACCACCUUGAAGAGAGACAGAAGAUCAAGAGACAAAUGGAAAGAUAGUGGGAAUGCUUCCCUAAACCCCAAAAGUCUCAGUGGUGAUAUAAGCAUGAAGACAGGAAUACCAAGAGGAGAAGGAGGUUGUGGACUCACCAUGAUCCUAUCCCAAGUGAAAAACAGACAUGCUUGAAGAGUCCAAGAAAGAAAUAGAUCUCCACAGUCAUU